rnacentral:rRNA from 1 species
UACGUAGGGGGCUAGCGUUGUCCGGAAUCAUUGGGCGUAAAGAGCGUGUAGGCGGUCCGGUAAGUCCGCUGUGAAAGUCGGGGGCUCAACCCUCGAAUGCCGGUGGAUACUGUCGGGCUAGAGUCCGGAAGAGGCGAGUGGAAUUCCUGGUGUAGCGGUGAAAUGCGCAGAUAUCAGGAGGAACACCGAUGGCGAAGGCAGCUCGCUGGGACGGUACUGACGCUGAGACGCGAAAGCGUGGGGAGCAAACAGG